AUAAAAUAAAAUAAAAUAAAAAAGAAUAUGAAGAGGGGGCCAGGCACAGUGGCUCACGCCUGUAAUCCCAACACUUUGGGAGCCCAAGUGGGCAGAUAACGAGAUCAGGGGUUCAAGACCAGCCUGACCAACAUGGUGAAACCCUGUCUCUACUAAAAAUACAAAAAUUAGCCGGGAGUGGUGGCACGUGCCUAUUGUCCCAGCUACUCAGGAGGCUGAGGCAAGAGAAUCGCUUGAACCCUGGAGGCGGAGGUUGCAGUGAGCUGAGAUUGCGCCACUGCACUCCAGCCUGGGUGACAGAGCAAGACUCCACCUCAAAAAAAAAAAAAAAAAAAAAUAUGAAGAGGGUGGAAGAUUUCGUAUGUUAACACUCUGGAAAGUCAUCACUCCCAGAUUCUUUCCAUGGAGGCUCUCUCGAAAGCAGAAUGACCCCCAUUCUAGAAGCAGAAGGUGAAUAUGGCAAAGGCCUGUGGAGGAGCUAGUGUGAAAGGAACUGACAUGAGGACAGCUACCAACUGGAGUGAGAAAGUCAGGUCUCAGCUACAAGAGCACUAGCUGGGCAAGCGAGACCGGUAGGGCCUUCAUCAGAAAUGCCACCUAUUUUGACAUUUUGAGUCCAAAAAUGUUCCUAUGUACUACACUGAAGUGUGUCCCUGAAGGUGGCCCCAGAAAUGGCCCAGAUGAAGUCCUGGGAAGGCCGUGGAGGUCAUCCUCUUUUGUUUCCUUCUUCAACUUGGUCCAAUUACCUUGCUCUCCAUUGAAUUUCAAAUUAGACCUUGUGUCUUCACACCUCAAGCCUUUACCCUAAGCCUUCUCUUUGCCUGGAAUGACCUCUUUCCUCUCACAUCAUUCAAUUUCCAUCCCACCUUUGAAAUAAAGCCUACCUUUCUUGCUAUUGUGAUUACUUUAGCUUGCAGUGACUUCUCCUGGCUCUAAUAUCUGAAUCUUGUAUUCAAUAAUCAUUCUUUAGUAGGUUUUCCUUAGAAAGCCCACUGGACAAAAGUCAGAUUCAUAUUAAACUACAGACUAAAGAGCAGGAAGAGCCCCUAGAGAUCCCCUAGCCCUACUAUUUCUGUUUAGGUGAGCAGGCAAAAAUGUAGAAGGAAGUAGUGAUUUCCUUAAAGUUACAAGAGAGUCAAAAGCAGAGAAUGCAUAAAUCCAUGUCUACUGACUCUCAAUCUGGAAUGUCUUCCAUGCAUUUUUUUAAAUUUCUUUUAUGCCUAAGUAGUUUAACUUGAGAUGAAAAUGCAAUAAGAAUCACAUUUCCACAGAAGUGAUAAGAAAUUGAUCAGGGCUCCUUUCUGAUGUUUCAGCAUGCUAUGAGUCUCACGGAAGGUCCCUGUUUUUGCACCUCAGGGUGAAUCAUGGAUUUCUGAAUGGGCAGGAGGAAACUGAGGCUAAGUGAGGCUACCUCUGGAAUCACUGGAAGUCCUCCCAGGAGGGAAGAGAAAGAGACCUAUGACAUCAACCUUGAGCUUUCCUUCUUUGUUCCUUUUAUGGCCUUCCUCACUUUAUGUGAGUUCUGGGAUAUGAAAGUGCUCAGGGGUAGGGAAAGCUGUAAAUCCCCAGGGCCUUGCACUAUAAACUUCAUUUCCUCCCUUUAUUGCAGUUAACUGCCCAUGAACUCUAUUAAUAUUUUGCAAAUUGAGAUCCCUAAAACACAUGUUACUGUUAAUUUUAACCUCAUGCUAACUAGGAUGUGGUCAAAUUUUCACAACAAAUUCCAAGGAUAUUUUGAUAUGCCUUGGAAAAAUGCAUUUAAAGGUGCCUCGGGGGUAUAUACUUUUUCUAAGUCUACACAUUUUCUUUCAAUUCUUGCUGUUUAGGAACAGGCAGAAGUAAACUGUCUUAUGUGAGGAGGAGCAAUAAUACAAAGUGAUUCAGUUAUGAUACGGGAGUGACAGAAGCCUCUAACAGACCAAGAGGGACAGUCAAGGAACAUCAACUUUCUGAACUUACCAUAGUAAAAAUCUGAUGUCAACAAAACUGUUACACACUUUUGCGUACAGGAUCAAUUUACUUAGAAACACUUCACCGUUCUAUAAACACAAUUCUUCCCUUAGGCAAAAGCCAUGGGUUUUAUAAAUUUAAUGAGACAAAAAUGAAUUUUUCCCACCUCCAGGAUACCAAAUACAUUAUCACAGAAUAGUAUCACAAGUGUGACCUCUAAAUCUGAUGAGCCAGAAGUAAGAAACUCCUUCCUUCCUUCUUUACUUCCUUCCUCCCUCCCUCCUUUCCUUCCUUCCUCCCCUCCUUCCUUCCUCCCUCCCUGUCUCCCUCCCUCCCUCCUUUCCUUUCGUUCCUUCCUU
rnacentral:lncRNA from 10 species